ACUCAAAUGAAUUGACGGGGGUCUAUACAAGUGGUGGAACAUGUGGUUUAAUGCGAUACUACGCGCCUAAUCUUACCAGUCCUUGCAUUGCAGUUUGUUUUCUGCAAAGAAAACUUUUAGAUUUAUUAAUUCCUAAAAUCUGCACAGGUGUUGCAUGGCUGUCGUCAGCUCGUGUCGUAAGAUGUUUGGUUAAGUCCCUUAACGAGCGCAACCUCUAAAUGUAUUUGACUCACAUUGUGAAAAAUGCAUUGACUGCCCACAAUAAAUGGGAGGAAGGUGGAGAUGACGCCAAGUCCUUAUGGCCCUUAUGGACUGGGCUACACACAUGUUACAAUGGGAAAAACAAUAUGAUACAAACAUUUUGUUGGUGUAUAUCAAGAAGCUUUCCCUUAGUUCGGAUUGAAGGCUGCAACUCGCCUUCAUCAAGGUGGAAUCACUAGUAAUCGUGGAUCAGGAUGCCACGGUGAAUUUGUACCUGGACCUUGUACACACCGCCCGU
rnacentral:rRNA from 1 species